AUGGCUCAGAACGAACGCUGGUAGCGUGGAUUAGGCAUGCAAGUCGAACGGGAUCCGGAAGGCAGCAAUGUCGGCCGGUGAGAGUGGCGGAAGGGCGAGGAACACGUGGGCAACCAGUCUUGAGGUGGGGAAAACCUCGGGAAACUGAGGCUAAUACCGAAUGUGGCGCGGAAGGGCAUCCUUCCUGCGCUAAAGGGGGCGAAAGCUCCCCCUCUUCGAGGGGCUCGCGCACCAUCAGCUAGUUGGCGGGGUAACGGCCCACCAAGGCUCACGGUUAGCUGGUCUGAGAGGAUGGCCAGCCGCACUGGGACUGAGAUACUGCCCAGACUCCUACGGGAGGCUGCAGUCGAGGAUCAUUCGCAAUGGGCGAAAGCCUGACGAUGCGACGCUGCGUGGAGGAUGAAGGCCUUCGGGUUGUAAACUCCUGUCAUGAGGGAAAAGGAGACCUUACCUAAUCGUAGGGGAUUUGAUGGUACCUCAAGAGGAAGGGACGGCUAACUCUGUGCCAGCCGCCGC
rnacentral:rRNA from 1 species